rnacentral:rRNA from 1 species
AUGGAGGAUGACAAGAAGGAGGGCAAGUACCGCGGCGUGCGGAAGCGGCCGUGGGGCAAGUUCGCGGCCGAGAUCCGGGACCCGGAGCGCGGCGGCUCCCGCGUCUGGCUCGGCACCUUCGACACCGCCGAGGAGGCCGCGCGCGCCUACGACCGUGCCGCAUUCGCGCAGAAGGGCGCCACCGCCAUCCUCAACUUCCCCGGCGAGGCUGGCAGGAUGAGUGGCGGGUCUUCUUCGUCGUCGGCCGCCGCCCAGGCGGCCGCGAGCAGGCGCGUCCCUGACACGGAGAAGGUGGAGCUGGAGUACCUCGACGACAGGGUCCUGGACGAGCUCCUCGCGGAGGACUACUACAGCAGCAGUAAGAAGAAGUAG